GCCCCGGUAGUGUAGUCGGUUAAGCAUUCGACCCUCUCAAGGUCGCGACCCGGGUUCGAAUCCCGGCUGGGGCA
rnacentral:tRNA from 1 species